rnacentral:lncRNA from 1 species
AGGGUUGCCGUGCAGGGAGUGUCAGCCACGUCUAGCGCACAGUCCCAGGCCCCAGGGCGAAGGCGGCCAGGGGAAAUGGGGCUCAGGGAUUGCUAAGCAAACGCAUCACUGGUGGUCUCCAGCGCCUGCGGAGUAUCUUUUGCUGCCUCUUACGUAUUGUAGGCAGUGCCUGAUGGCUGAGAAGAAUCGCAGAGGACUAGAAAAGGUUUGAGUCUGAAAUUAUCUGGCACAGAGGAUUAAAGCUCAGAAAUAAGUGAUUGCGAAACAGUUCAACUUCCCUGUUAAUGACAACAACAACAGCAACACGCUUAUUAAUUCCUAGCUGGAGUUUUUCCUAAUUAACAGCAUCAAGCUUAUGAAGAUUUCCAAGACUUUAUUGUUGACCCUUGUUGAAGAGAACUCUACUUGGCUUCUUUCCUGGCUUUCCUAAAUUGUUCACAUACAAGAUAAACUACCGUCAUUCAGACUUACAGAAGUGAGAAGACAAGCUGAACCAAAUGUAAAAUGGUAGCAAUUUACAGAUGUCAGAACUAACAUGUGGAUGAACUUAGAGAUGGAGAAGAAAGCUGGGCUUUUCCAAAGAGUGGAUCUAUCUGAACUGGAUAGCACUAUUGAACUUUGUUGCAUAUUUUGUGGUAGCUCUAAAACUCCUCUGCUUGCUUACAUACAACCAGACACCAGUGCCUUCUGAAGCUAAUCCAGGCCAUUUUUAUAACCUAAUGCAGUAGCACUUUGCAAUUAGAUGAAGAAGAUCGGUGGGAUUUCUUUCUGUGGUGAUUAAAAUGUGUCAGGGGAAGAAAUCAAGACAAUACUCCAAGUGAAAAAUAUAAAGUCAGUUAUUUCUUUAAUAUUUUGUGUUAUAGUAAUCAUUUUUAUAUUUUGAGCAUACUUUUUCUUGUCUACUUAAAUACUCAAAAUUAAUUAUAAAAUGUAAAUGUAAGCACAAUGAGAUACCAUCUCAUCCCAGUUAAAAUGGCUUUUAUCAAAAAGAUAGGGAAUAAUGAAUACUGGUGGAAGGAUGUGGAGAAUGGGGAACCCUCGUACACUGUCAAUGAGAAUGUAAAUUAGUACAGCCACUAUGGAAAACUGUAUGGAAGUGCCUCCGAAAACAAAGUAGAACUACCAUGUGAUCCAGCAAUUACACUAGUGGGUAUAUAUUCAAAAGAAAGGAAAUCAACAUAUUAAAGAGAUAGCUGCAUUCUCAUGUUUAUUGAAGUCCUGUUGAAAUAGCCAAAAUAUGGAAUCAACCUAAGUGCCCAUCAGUGGAUGAAUGGUUAAAGAAAAUGUGAUUGAUAUGCAAUGGAAUAUUAUUCAGCCAUAAAAAAGAAUGAAAUCCUGGCGGGGCACAGUGGCUCAUGCAAGUAAUCCCAGCACUGACCUCAUGAAGACAGAGAGUAGAUUGGUGGUUACCAGAGGUUGAGAAGGGGAGAGGAGAGGAGGGAUGAAGAGAGGUUGAUUGAUGGAUAGAAAUAUACAGUUUGAUAAUGAUAAAUCAGUAGGGUGACUAUAGUUUAUAAUAACCUAUUGUAUGGUUCAAAAUAGCUAAAA